GGGUCCCUUUGCUCUUUUAUUGGCUUCUCACUCCAGGAGUCAGGGGUGGAUUGUUUCUGGAGACUCUGAGCUCCACAGAGGGGCAGAAGUCACAGCUCAGGAACUGGAGUGGUUCUCCAGCACUACUAAGGGGCUGGUGCUGCUUUGGAGACCAGUGCUGGAAUGAACAUCCUGGUGCCAAGGGUGCGAACGGGGGAUGGCAGCAGCCUCAGCAACGGCCCUCAGGGGACUCUUUGCUCUUUUGCUGGCUUCUCCCUCACGAAGUCAGGGGUGGAUGGUGUCUGAAGACCUUGAGUUCCACAGGAGGGCAAGUGGGAGGAACAGAACUCACAGCUCAGGACCUGGAGCAGUUCCAGCACUGCCAAGGGCUCUGCUUUCCUGGAGUCUUUCUGAGGACAUGAUGAAACCAAGUUGAUGGAG